rnacentral:lncRNA from 1 species
CAUCUUGAUGGCUGCUGCUCUUAUUGGUCUAGUCUGUGUUGUUACCAUGAUCGUGAAAGUAAAAGAAACAGUAUGUCGUCAAGUACAAAACCCAAAGAAGGACACUUCAAAACCAAAGUUUAAACGCCGGUUAGCAAAACGGAGGCAAUCGUCAGUCCAGACACAAGAUGCUCAAACUGGGUCGUUUUUUUAUAGAUUCAGAAUUAUCCAUGUUUCCACCUCCAAGGGAAGAAGAUGUUUAUUGCGAAAUUGGAGACAUUACCACACUUGAACCAAAUCGUUAUUAAUGUCCACAUAAAUAUGCAAACGUCAUCAAUUGAAAAAUCUUUGUCUCUUGGUCUCCAGCAAUAAGUAGUAUCAAUGGUAAUCAAAUCACUCUCAUUAUAAAAAUUCUACGAACUUUUAAUCAACCA